UUUUGCUUGUGCGGCAGACAAUUAGUCUAGCCUCCGCACAAAAAGCUUCACAACAUUGAUUUCUCAUCUAAAAUACUUCGCAGUGAGGAGUUUUGUGUGAAUUUUUUGCUAUAAUGCCCUCUUGGCGGCAAAUAAUUGUCGCCCAAAAAAUAACAAGGAGCUAUUAUGAAUUAUAUUUAUGAUAAAGAAAGUAAUAAAUAUUAUAGCAAGAAUGGUAGAGAGUUACGCGGUUGUGCUAGAGAUAAUUGUGAAAUCCAUAGGCUUGGUGGCUGGAAUAAUGUAAGUGGUUCUAUUGCCAUUAUGUUGGAAACAAUUAAAAUACAGGAUAAGCAAAUUCGUGACCUAAAGGUUGUAUUAAAUUCGGUUUUAGUAUCGAAUCUCUCUCAAACUCAAAACUUCAAGAAAUUCUAGGAUUGUGCGUAAGAUUUAAGGGUUGUGCAGAAAAAUCUGCGGAGACUAGCCUAGUGGCUGUCGCACAAAGAUUUUUCAAACUCCCUUAAAGAUUGCGUGCAAGCUGAAUUUACCUUAAUAUUCAGAUGAGCCUACAAGGGUGAUGGACUGCCUUUUGCAUAAUGAUCCUGCGAGUUGUGGUAUCUGGCAAGGUUAAACUAAUGUGAAGCCGUAGCGAAAGCGAGUCUGAAAGGGCGAUUAAGUCAGAUGCUGCAGACCCGAAGCUGAGUGAUCUAUCCAUGGCCAAGUUGAAAGUGGGGUAACACCCACCGGAGGACUGAACUCGUACCCAUUGAAACGGGUUGGGAUGAGCUGUGGAUAGGGGUGAAAGGCCAAUCAAACUCAGUGAUAGCUGGUUCUCUUCGAAAUAUAUUUAGGUAUAGCCUCAAGUGAUAGUAAUAGGGGGUAGAGCUCUGAUUGGGCUAGGGCUGCUCACCGCGGUACCAACCCCUGUCAAACUACGAAUACCUAUUACCGUAUCUUGGGAGUCAGGCGGUGGGUGAUAAAAUCAAUCGUCUAAAGGGGAACAACCCAGACUACCAACUAAGGUCCCAAAGUUCUAUUCUAAGUGGAAAAAGAUGUGAAGUUACUUAGACAACCAGGAGGUUGGCUUAGAAGCAGCCAUCCUUUAAAGAUAGCGUAACAGCUCACUGGUCUAGUGAUUUUGCGCUGAAAAUAUAACGGGGCUAAGAUAGACACCGAAGUUGUAGAUUGUGCUGAUGCACAGUGGUAGAAGAGCGUUCACAUCAGCGUUGAAGCCAUACCGGUAAGGAGUGGUGGAGCGGUGUGAAGUGAGCAUGCAGGAAUGAGUAGCGAUAAAAGUGGUGAGAAUCCACUUCGCCGUAAAUCUAAGGUUUCCUACGCUAUGCUCGUCAUCGUAGGGUUAGUCGGGUCCUAAGACAAGUCCGAAAGGGGUAGUCGAUGGAAAAUUGGUUAAUAUUCCAAUACCAACAUUAGUGUGCGAUGGAGGGACGCAUAGGGUCAAGACAAGUUAGCCGAUAGAAAUGCUAGCCGAAGGGUGCAAGUUAGGAGAUUGGCAAAUCCGCUCCCGUAUCCCAAACCCAACAGGCCCUUUGAAGUCUUCGGAUGGAUAGGGGAAUUGUUAAGAUCGUCGUGCCAAGAAAAGCUUCUAAGUUUAGCUAAUGUUGCCCGUACCGCAAACCGACACAGGUAGAUGAGAUGAGUAUUCUAAGGCGCGUGAAAGAACUCUCUUUAAGGAACUCUGCAAACUAACACCGUAAGUUCGCGAUAAGGUGUGCCUAAGCAAUUAGGUCUCAGCAAAGAGUCCCUCCCGACUGUUUACCAAAAACACAGCACUUUGCCAACUCGUAAGAGGAAGUAUAAGGUGUGACGCCUGCCCGGUGCUCGAAGGUUAAGAGGAUUAGUCAGCAGCAAUGUGAAGCUUUGAAUUGAAGCCCGAGUAAACGGCGGCCGUAACUAUAACGGUCCUAAGGUAGCGAAAUUCCUUGUCGGUUAAAUACCGACCUGCAUGAAUGGCGUAACGAGAUGGGAGCUGUCUCAAAGAGUGAUUCAGUGAAAUUGUAGUGGAGGUGAAAAUUCCUCCUACCCGCGGCAAGACGGAAAGACCCCGUGGACCUUUACUACAGCUUGGCACUGCCGAUGGGAGCAUUAUGCGCAGCAUAGGUGGGAGGCUAUGAAAUCUUUACUCUGGUAGAGAUGGAGCCACCGUUGAGAUACCACCCUUAAUGUUUCUGUCUGCUAACUAGCUUGAGUUAUCCUCAAGUAGGACAAUGCCUGGUGGGUAGUUUGACUGGGGCGGUCGCCUCCUAAAAAGUAACGGAGGCUUGCAAAGGUUGGCUCAAAAUGGUUGGAAAUCAUUUGUAGAGUGUAAUGGCAUAAGCCAGCCUGACUGUAAGACAAACAAGUCAAGCAGAGACGAAAGUCGGUCAUAGUGAUCCGGUGAUUCUGUGUGGAAGGGUCAUCGCUCAAAGGAUAAAAGGUACCCCGGGGAUAACAGGCUGAUCUCCCCCAAGAGCUCACAUCGACGGGGAGGUUUGGCACCUCGAUGUCGGCUCAUCGCAUCCUGGGGCUGGAGCAGGUCCCAAGGGUAUGGCUGUUCGCCAUUUAAAGCGGUACGCGAGCUGGGUUCAGAACGUCGUGAGACAGUUCGGUCCCUAUCUGCCGUGGGCGUAGGAAAGUUGAGGAGAUCUGUCCCUAGUACGAGAGGACCGGGAUGGACAUACCACUGGUGUAGCUGUUGUCCUGCUAUGGGCAUCGCAGCGUAGCUACGUAUGGAUGUGAUAAACGCUGAAAGCAUCUAAGCGUGAAGCCAACUCCAAGAUGAACUUUCCCUGAAGGUCGCAGGAAGACUACCUGCUUGAUAGGGUAGGGGUGUAAGCAUAGUAAUAUGUUUAGCUGACUACUACUAAUAGACCGUUUGGCUUAAUA
rnacentral:rRNA from 1 species